AUUGCAAUAGAUUUUUAAUUGCAGAAUAUACUUUUUCUUAUGAUAUUUCAUAAGUUAGAGAAAUUAUUUUAUAAUAAAAUUGGACUGUAUUUUUGAAUAUCAUUUAAAUAAAAUUUAUAAAAUGUGUUGUUAUAAUGAUAUGUUAAGAGAUAUUUUCUUUUUGCUGUUUUAUAAUGAAAUAUCAAUUGUUUAAUAAUGUAUAAAGUAGUAAAGAAGAAUAGACACAUUCAAUUUUUUGGUAACAAAUGAAUGAUAUUUUAACUGUUUCAUUUAAAAAAUGUCAAGUUUUGAUGAUUUAACAUGCUCAAAAUUUACAAUUAAAAUAUGUCAAAGAUUUAAUGUCACGAGUACUUUAGCCACGCCGCAUUUUAACAAGUAGAUAACGAAUUGCAGACUGAAGAUGAUUUCGUACGCUGAUAAGAUUUAACAUCGAUUUAAUGAAAUAACGUGUGCAUACCAGCGGUUUCAUCAUAAUGUUCAUUGGUACAAAACUGAAUCUUCGUGAAACUUUGAAAUACUUCAGAAGCAAUCUAUUGUACAUUUGAAGCAAUCUUCAGAAAUAUCAGCAAAAAAGAGACGCAAAGGAUAAACGCGAAUUAAAAAUGACAAAUAUCUAUUAUACAAAGAAAAGGAUUAACAUAUGAUUUUUUAAAGUAAAUUUAAAAAUGUAAGUCAGAAAAAGUGAAGUCAGAUAAUUUGUAUAUAUUUUUAGUAAGCUUUCCAUAUAAAUAAAAUAUUAUAAUUUGUACACAUAAGUUAAUUAAAGAACUUGAUUUACAUAGAAA